GAGUCGAACACAACUGAAUGACUGAACUGAACUGAUUGACCCAUUGGGUUUUUGGUAGCAUGUUGUUUAGUCUCCAUGUAGUCAUUUUUUUUUUUUUUUCAUUUCACUUUCUGUGGUUAAUUUCUAAUUCCAUCCAACUGUGGUCAAAAAUGAUACUUGAAAGAAUUUCUAUACUCUUAAAUUUGUUGAAGCUUGGUUUGUGCCAUAGUAAGUAGUCAGUCCUAGUGAAUGUUCCAUGUGCACUUGAAAACAAUGUGUAUUUUUUUUUUUUUUUGGAUGUGAUGUCCUGCAAAUGUCACUCCGUUUUAUCAUUUAAUAUCUCUAUUGCCUUAUUGAGUCUGUCUGGAAGAUCUUUUCAUUGAUAUGAGUGGGGUGUUAAAAUCCCCUACUAUUUUUUAUUUAUUUAUUUAUUUUUUAUUAUUAUUCUUUUUUUUUUAUUAGUUGGAGGCUAAUUACUUCACAACAUUUCAGUGGGUUUUGUCAUACAUUGAUAUGAAUCAGCCAUAGAUUUACACGUAUUCCCCAUCCCGAUCCCCCCUCCCACCUCCCUCUCCACCUGAUUCCUCUGGGUCUUCCCAGUGCACCAGGCCCGUUAUAUUCCCGUCAAUUUCUUCCUUUAGGUGUGUUAUGUAUUUGGGUGCUCCUAUAUUAGGUGUAUAUAUGUUGAUGAGUAUAAAAUCCUUUAUUAUUGUCUUUUUAUCAUUAUAUAAUGUCCUCCUUUAUCUUUCUUCAAGCCUUUGUUUUAAAGUCUAUUUUCUCUGAAAUAUGAUAUUGUGACACCCACUUUAUCAUUUCCAUUUGCAUAAAAUAUUUUUCCAUAGCCUCAAUCUGUGUGUGUUCUUUGCCCUACAGCAGUGGAUCUCUUGUAGGCAGCAUGUCAUAGGCUCGGUUCCCCCCCCCCCCCCAAGUCUACUCUGUGUCUUUUGGAGCACUUAGUCUCUUGACAUUUGAUGUGAUUAAUGAUAGUUAUGUAUUUAUUGCCAUUUUAAACCUUUUUUUCUCAUUGAUUCUUCUUCUUUGUUCUUUUCUUUUUCUGUUUUUCCUCUUGUGGCUUGAUUUUCUCUCAUAUUAUUCUUAUGUUCUUUUUUUUUCUUUUUUAAUCUAUUGUAUGCUUUUGACUUGUGGUUACUCUGUCUGUGUAAACCCCUACCUAUAUCUACUUGCCUUAGACUAGUAGUAAUAUACACUCAAACACAUUAUGGGGGAAAAAAAAUCUACAUUUUCCUACUGUCUACCCCCAAAUUUCAUGAUUUUUAUGUCCUCUUUUACACCUUCAUGGUUUUUUUUUUUUUUUCCUUUUCAUUGUUAUUACUUUUACACAUCUUUUUUUCCCUCAAAUCUGUGUAUUGACUUAUUUUCCAAUUAUGAUUUUCUCUUUCCUAUGGAUUUUUACUUGUUUUCUAUUUAGAGAACUUCCAGUAUUUCCUUUAGGAUAGGUUUAGUAUUGCUGUAUUCUUAUUUUUUGCUUCUCUGAGAAAUUCUUCCUCUCUCCUAUUCUCAGUGGGUAGAGUAUGCUAGGUUGUUGAUUUUCCCCUUUCAGGUCUUUGAAUAUACCUUUCCACUUCCUUCUGGCCUGCAACAUUUCUGUAGCAUGAUCAGCUGUUAUGCUUAUGGGGGUUCCUUUAUAAUUAACUCUGUUUUUCUCUUGCUUCCUUAAGAAUCCCAUCUUUAACUUUUCCCAUUUCAGUUAAAAUGUCUUGGUGUAGAUCUGCUUGGGUUUAUACUGUUUGGGAUAAAGAAGCAUCCUGUGUUUCCAGUACCUGGACUUCUGUUUCCUUCUUUAGGUUUUGGAAGUUUUCAGGCAUAAUUUCUUCAAAUAUAUUUUAGAUCCCCCUUUCUCUUUCUUUCCCUGGAAUCCUUAUUAUGCAUAGUUUGGCAUGCUUUAUAUAAUCCCAUGGGUCUCUUAUAUUGCUUUUUUUUUUUUUUCCAAUUUGGCCUUCUGUCUGCUGUUGAUUGGAUGAUUUCCAUUAUUCUAUAUUCCAGGUCACUUAUUCAUUCUUCUGCAUUGUUCAUUCUGAUUUUCAUUGUCUUUAGUUGAGCUUUUGUCUCUGCAAAUGAGUUUUCGAAUUUUUCUUUGUUCCUCUUUAUAGCUUCUGGUUCCUUUUUACAGUACUCUGCAUUUCUGUAGAUAGCCUUUCUUAAUUCCUUCAGUAUCUUCAUUAUUUCCCUUUUGAACUCUGUGUCUGUUAUACUGAAGAGGCCUGUUUCAUUGUUAAUUUUUUUCAGGGAAAUGCUCAUUCUUUUAACUGGGAGUGGUUCCUCUGCUCUAUUUCACCUAUAUUUACCUUACUAAGUUUAGGAGAUAUAUCAAUUGUGGUCUUGAAGAAUUAUUUAUAUCUUUUGCCUCUUUCCUCAGCCUGUGCUGUUUUCCCGUUGAUAGGGGGUGGGCAGAUGCAGUGGUGGGUGCCUGAUCUUGGGGUUCUCAGGCACUGCUUGGGGUUGGUUUGUAUAUGUGAUUUCUCAACAACUGAAAAGAGCUCUCAGUUGCUUGGUGGAUUUUUCAUAUGAAAUAUUAUGUGACACUUAAUAGUGUUUUUAAGUAAUUCUAAUGACAUGGAAAAAUGCUUAUUUAUUUCUAAAUGAGAAAGUUGGAGAGUAACAAAUACAAUGUCGAUUUUAAACUGUUACACUUUUUUAAAGUUGUAAAAGGAAACAUGCAAAUGUUAAGAUUUUCUGGGUUGUUAAAAUUAUAGAUAUUCUUUACUUUUUAAUUUAUACCUUUCACUUUAUUUUUUUAACUAUGACCACCUGUUACUUUUAUCAUCAAAAAGAAGACAUUUUUUAAAAAAAAGAACAAGCCCAGCCCAAUGCAAUCAAUCUCAUGACAUUUUUCGCUGCUGUCUUCACUCAGAAGGCCAUACUGUUGUCCCCCUCUAUGGUUGUUGUUUUCUUGCUCUUUCAGGUACUGGACUCAUUGCAGAUGAAUAUUCGCCAAAGUGAGAAAGAAAGUGACAGCAUCUCUCUAGGAGCAUGAAACCGCUUAGUUAAACUGGCCUUGUCAGCCACAGUCUGCUCCUGGUAUCAAUCUCAAUGACCUACACAGGGAACAGACGUCUUUAAAUGCUAAAAUGCCCAUCUUAUGUAACUGGAAGUUUCCCCUCUUCUAAAUCUUUCUUCUGAUGAAACAAUCUUUUAAAGCCCUUCUCCAAAGCAGCUCUUCUUUUUUGUUUUAGAUAGUACAUCAUGCUCUGUGGAAUGACAAAGGUCCAAGUAUUGACUUUUCAUUGUACUGUUUCCUUAUGCCAAUAUCUGGUAUUUGGGGUUGCCCGAAGUCAUUCUGCCCAAGAUUUCUGGCCCAUUAGUCCUAUUAAAAAGAAAAAAUAAAAUAAAAACGGAGCUAUAUGAUACUAUUUGUUCCAUUUCCUCUGUCCUCAACCCCUUUAACACCCUGUCAUUGAACCAGAGGGUUCUUCUAAGUUGCAAACUUUUUUCUGGGUUCUUUCUUUAUAAAAGUCAACAGAAACCUCCACAAAGGCAGACCUACCUGAGAAGAGAGGCUGGUAGUGACUCUCACGAGUAGCAACAGAAAUAGUGCAGCACAACUUAUCUUCAAGCUACCUUUAAAAAGUACAAGUUCAUGAAGCGAGUCUCAGUGCCUCCUCCAAUUAAGUAAAGGAUUUUAUGACCUCCUUCAGUUCUCUCUCCCUCCCUCCCUUCCUUCAUUCUUCAAGGAAAUAAGGAGUUCAUUCCUAUCUUCACUCACAAACAACAGAGAUCAUGGUUUGCUUCCUUCAAUCAUGUAGGCUUUUAGGUCUAAUACCCACUAAAAUGUCAAGCAUUUGUUACUUUAUAAUGGGAUAUCAUAGUUUCCCUCUCCUUCCUCUCUGCACUGCACUUCUUCUCUCCACAUAUCCAGAGAGAAAAACAUGAUGUCACUCCCAACAUUCACUGAAGCUUCAUUCACUCAUUCACAAUAAAGCUCUUCCCAGCUGGGGCCUGUUACAGACAUGUGGCCUGGGGGAAGGAAAAGAAAAAACACUUGCUGAAACCCAUCAGUGUGGAGCAGGAAAUGAAAAGUGGCUAGAGAGCAAGGAGCACACUGCAAUUCUGAAGAAAGGAGAGGCAUGAUAUAAGAUAAGGCAUCAGAAGAUGUGACUAUGGGUGUCCUGAGCAAUCAUUGAGAAUAUCUGAAAGGUAUAAGACUUUCCACUUUUCCCAUACCCUUUCUUUCCCAUUUCCAAGAGACAAAAAGUAACCAGGACUCCUGACAGUUUACUAUUAACCCAUAAGAUUUGUGUCCUUACAUACCACAUGUAUGCAAAUCUUAAAAUCUCUGAUGAGCAAGCUAGAAAGGGAUACAAGCUCUCCUACUGAUUUCAUAAUCAGUUGAGACAUCAAUAGUAAAUCCUGGGGCUGAGGUCCAGUUGCUGGCUGUGGUUAGUGUCUGCGGUGGCUGCCAGGAGAUAAGAUAGGAGUUGGUAUCAGGCUGAUUAACAUGAGUAUUCCCCAACUAAAGCAGUAAUUAUGACAAAUUCAACCCCAACCUUAGCAUUCAUACCUCCUUGGUUCUUAACAGAUGGAAAGAAGUGCUAGUGAAGGAGAAUAACUCCUAGUGCCAGAGGAAGUAGAAAGUUAUGGCUUUUGUUUGUUUUAAUCAGUGAUAUCUCAGUCAUGGGACUGAAAGAAAAAGGAUUAUGAACACAGGGGCUGGGGUUACUUUCAAGUCAACUAACUGCCUUCCAUAAAGUUGGGGUCUUAUGUUGCUGAAACUUAAAACUCAUCUCUGGGGGCCUAUAUUUCAGCAUUGGAGAUCUGGCAAUUUUUGACUACAUGGGGUCCUUUUUAUGGGAAGUGAUAGUUCAUAUAUACACAGAGUACAACUUCUGAAAACAGAAAGGAACUGAGAGGGCUAAGUAUGCAAUUGAAAAGAACAACCUGUGGUCUGGAGAGUCUUCAAGAGUGUGAUCUCUCUGUUGAGUCAUGCUUUGCAAAGCUGAGACGAAGAGAGGUUGUAGUCGUCCUCUGACUUUUUUCCUUUUCUUCUCCUUCAUGAAGUCUUCUACCAGCUCCUCCUGAGGAAUAAAUAUACAGCAGCUCCCACAGGAGGGGAUAGGCUGUCUGAAGGCCUGGUGACUCUGACACACUGGCUCUAAACCUUCAUUGGAAUAUUGACUCGUUUGAAGACUAUAAGAAAAGAAAAAGGACUGCAUGCGGUGUCAGAGGGCUCAUAGACACUCACCCUAAAUUUUACCUUCCAAAUCCUAAGGGCUAUCUCUUUGCAUCAAUUUCCAGCCCUCCUUCCCAACAACACAGGGAACAUCUACAAUAGGGCCAUUAAACUGGAUUUGUCCUGACCCUAAAUGGCUUUUACAAAGUGGUUUUGUUAUUCAUCCACUGAUGAGGGCUUUCUUUUGUCUACUCUUUAUCUUAAAAGCUCAAUUAGAUAAUAGGACUGUGUCUUGUUUCUAAUUAAUAUGUGUUUUUAAAGAACUGCGCCUAUCUUUUUCAAAGGACAGUUCUAGUUCACUCCUCAACUCAGAGGCCAAAGUAUAUUAUGGAACACAGCCAACAAAAGCAUGUACCAUGUAAUCAAGCUACAUCAAGGUCAAGGAGAAAUUCUGAUCCUAAAUAAAUCUUUUUCUGACACUUUCAGAUGACCAGCCUUCUGCUCUUUCAGAGAGUUAGGAGAUGGCAACAGGAUUCCACCAGUGCUAAGGGUCAGCAGCCUAACUCUAACCCUCACCUGGAAUUGCUGCUCAUUUUCACACAGGAUAUGUGACAGACCAAAAGGGAGAAAUAUAUGGCACACAGCAAAAUGUCAGGCAUAGAAUAAGCACUUAAUAGAGAAAGGAAUCAUUUUAGAUGUUCAUUCUGCCAGCCAAAACCUCAGUGCAAUGGGCAAACAACAGUUUUUGCAUCUUCUAGUAAUUUCCACCACUCUUCUGAGGCUCAUACUACUAUCCCACUGCAUCCUUUCUUCUCUUGAACCUGCACAGUUGUCAUGUGCCAAUCCCCAGAUCAUUCUUCAGCCACUGAAACCUAUUUUAUCUAGCCCUCAGUGUUUAUUCCUAGCCCAGCUUUUGCUAUAAUCCUGGGUCAUUUCAAUACUGAAGUAAACAACCAUCUGACAUCCUAGCAUCAAAGGUAUCUUGAUCACUCCAGUUUUUAAAUUUUACCAUUCCAAAGUUCAGUCUCUGAUAUAGAUCCUAUCAUACCAGUUUUCCAAAGACUCAGCACCCAUCUUGAUCACACUAAGGCCACUUUUUCUAUGCAGACUCUGACCUUCCUUUCAUAUACAGUCUGGAUCCUCAAAUUCACUGGUGUGUAACUCUUCUCUUGCUAGCUGUUCAUCCCUCAAUCAUGCUCAUUCAGUCAUGUCUGACUCUUUGUGACCCUCUGGACUGUAUCCUGCUAGGCUCCUCUGUCUCUGGGAUUCUCCAGGCAAGAAUACUGGGGUGGGUUGCCAUGCCCUCCUCCAGGGGAUCUUCUUAACCCAGGGAUCGAACCUGCAUCUCCAGUACUGGCAGGCAGAUUCUUUACCACUGAGCUACCUGAGAAGCCCCUAUCCUUCAAUCAAUCAAGAUCAAUUCUAGGCAACCAAAUGCUACUUGUGACAGUGGCCCAAGAUUACCUUUUCUUUUCCUGAGUCUCUAAUCAAGUUUCAAACUAGUUGCUCACUUUGAUAUGGCCUGGAUAUUUCUUAAGACUCUUGUCUCUGUAAUCCUGUCCCUGGUCAGCUUCCUCUCACCCACCUCUACAAUUACAAAUCUCCAACACCCUUAUCAGGUACUGUUUCUAACUCCUAUUCUUAUCACUAUACCCCAGUAAAGAGGUAACUCCUUUGAUCUAAGGCUAACCCUCCGCCUAUGUUCUAAGAGCCAUAAGUUAUCAUCUCUCUCCCAUAUGUACAACGUCUGCCUUCUCCCUGCCUUAUAGUGUGUGAGUAUGCUCAAUUUUCUCCUAUAUUAAAGGGGAACUUAUAUGAUUCACUGUAGGGCCUUGAUGGAAUGGUUUAACUUGUAUUCUAGUUGUCACAUCUUCUAAUAGAAAGAAGGCUUCUCAUGAAGCAAUAAUGAUUAAU